UACGAAGGGGGCUAGCGUUGCUCGGAAUUACUGGGCGUAAAGCGCACGUAGGCGGCUUUCUAAGUCGGGGGUGAAAUCCUGGAGCUCAACUCCAGAACUGCCUUCGAUACUGGCGAUCUUGAGUCCGGGAGAGGUGAGUGGAACUCCGAGUGUAGAGGUGAAAUUCGUAGAUAUUCGGAAGAACACCAGUGGCGAAGGCGGCUCACUGGCCCGGUACUGACGCUGAGGUGGCGAAAGCGUGGGGAGCAAACAGG
rnacentral:rRNA from 1 species